UAUCUGCAUUCCCUAACUCAGAGAGCAA
rnacentral:sRNA from 1 species